rnacentral:rRNA from 1 species
CCUACGGGAGGCAGCAGUAGGGAAUAUUGGGCAAUGGGCGAGAGCCUGACCCAGCCAUGCCGCGUGCAGGAAGAAGGCUUUCUGAGUCGUAAACUGCUUUUGACAGGGAAGAAUAAGCACUACGUGUAGUGUGAUGACGGUACCUGCAGAAUAAGCACCGGCUAACUCCGUGCCAGCAGCCGCGGUAAUACGGAGGGUGCGAGCGUUGUCCGGAUUUAUUGGGUUUAAAGGGUGCGUAGGCGGCUUUUUAAGUCUGGGGUGAAAGCCCGCUGCUCAACAGCGGAACUGCCCUGGAUACUGGAGAGCUUGAGUACAGACGAGGUUGGCGGAAUGGACUGAGUAGCGGUGAAAUGCAUAGAUACAGUCCAGAACCCCGAUUGCGAAGGCAGCUGACUAGGCUGUUACUGACGCUGAGGCACGAAAGCGUGGGGAGCGAACAGGAUUAGAUACCCUGGUAGUCCACGCCGUAAACGAUAGGAUACUCGCUGCGAGCUAAAGAUUGUUCGUGGCUUAGGGAACCGAUAAGUAUCCCACCUGGGGAGUACGCUCGCAAGAGUGAACUUAAAGUGAAGUUAGACGG